CUCCUUUGACGUUAGCGGCGGACGGGUGAGUAACACGUGGGUAACCUACCUAUAAGACUGGGAUAACUUCGGGAAACCGGAGCUAAUACCGGAUAAUAUUUCGAACCGCAUGGUUCGAUAGUGAAAGGUGGUUUUGCUAUCACUUAUAGAUGGACCCGCGCCGUAUUAGCUAGUUGGUAAGGUAACGGCUUACCAAGGCGACGAUACGUAGCCGACCUGAGAGGGUGAUCGGCCACACUGGAACUGAGACACGGUCCAGACUCCUACGGGAGGCAGCAGUG
rnacentral:rRNA from 1 species